GAUGAACGCUAGCUACAGGCUUAACACAUGCAAGUCGCGGGGCAGCAUGGGGUAGCAAUACCCUGAUGGCGACCGGCGCACGGGUGAGUAACGCGUAUCCAACCUUCCCACUACUACGGGAUAAACCCGUUGAAAGACGGACUAAUACCGUAUGAUAUCGUUCGAUGACAUCAGAAGACGAUCAAAGGUCAGCGGUAGUGGAUGGGGAUGCGUCCGAUUAGCUUGUUGGUGGGGUAACGGCCCACCAAGGCGACGAUCGGUAGGGGUUCUGAGAGGAAGGUCCCCCACACUGGGACUGAGACACGGCCCAGACUCCUACGGGGGGCAGCAGUGGGGAAUCUUGCACAAUGGGCGAAAGCCUGAUGCAGCGACGCCGCGUGAGCGAAGAAGGCCUUCGGGUUGUAAAGCUCUGUCUGGAGGGACGAAGGAAGUGACGGUACCUCCGGAGGAAGCCACGGCUAACUACGUG
rnacentral:rRNA from 1 species